GACGAACGCUGGCGGCGUGCUUAACACAUGCAAGUCGAACGAGUGGCGAACGGGUGAGUAACAUAUCGGAACGUACCGAGUAAUGGGGGAUAACUAAUCGAAAGAUUAGCUAAUACCGCAUAAUAUUCGAGCGGCCGAUAUCUGAUUCGCUGGGUGGUGGGGUAAAGGCCUACCAAGGCGACGAUCAGUAGCGGGUAUGAGAGGAUGAUCUGUCACACGGGGACGGAUACACGGCCCAGACUCCUACGGGAGGCAGCAGUGGGGAAUUUUGUACAAUGGGCGCAAGCCUGAUCCAGCCAUGCCGCGUGUAUGAAGAAGGCCCUAGGGUUGUAAAGUACUUUCAGUCGGGAGGCGUUACCGACAGAAGAAGCACCGGCUAACUCCGUGCCAGCAGCCGCGGUAAUAC
rnacentral:rRNA from 1 species